GUGCUGUGAUGACACCUUAAAAUUGUGGUUUCUACUCACUGAGAGUAACAUGAGGACCUACUAUUCCUUGGCUGUGUCUGAGCAC
ensembl:snoRNA SNORD92 small nucleolar RNA, C/D box 92